rnacentral:rRNA from 1 species
AAUGAACGCUGGCGGCGUGCUUAACACAUGCAAGUCGAGCGAGAAAGUGGCUUCGGCCAUGAGUACAGCGGCGAACGGGUGAGUAACACGUGGAUAACCUGCCUGGAAGCGGGGGAUAACCUGGGGAAACUCGGGCUAAUACCGCAUAAGCUCCGUGAGUUUCGGCUCGAGGAGAAAAGUUAGCCUCUACACGUAAGCUGACACUUUCAGAUGGGUCCGCGGCUGAUUAGCUGGUUGGUGAGGUAAUGGCUCACCAAGGCGACGAUCAGUAGCCGGCCUGAGAGGGCGAUCGGUCACACUGGAACUGAGACACGGUCCAGACUCCUACGGGAGGCAGCAGUGGGGAAUAUUGGACAAUGGGGGAAACCCUGAUCCAGCAACGCCGCGUGGAGGACGAAGGCUUUC